AGUGAACGCUGGCGGUAGGCCUAACACAUGCAAGUCGAACGGCAGCACAGUAAGAGCUUGCUCUUACGGGUGGCGAGUGGCGGACGGGUGAGGAAUACAUCGGAAUCUACUUUUUCGUGGGGGAUAACGUAGGGAAACUUACGCUAAUACCGCAUACGACCUACGGGUGAAAGCAGGGGAUCUUCGGACCUUGCGCGAUUGAAUGAGCCGAUGUCGGAUUAGCUGGUUGGCGGGGUAAAGGCCCACCAAGGCGACGAUCCGUAGCUGGUCUGAGUGGAUGAUCAGCCACACUGGAACUGAGACACGGUCCAGACUCCUACGGGAGGCAGCAGUGCGGAAUAUUGGACAAUGGGCGCAAGCCUGAUCCAGCCAUACCGCGUGUGUGAAGAAGGCCUUCGGGUUGUAAAGCCCUUUUGUUGGGAAAGAAAAGCAGCAGGUUAAUACCCCGCUGUUCUGACGGUACCCAAAGAAUAAGCACCGGCUAACUUCGUG
rnacentral:rRNA from 1 species